GCCAGCCAACUAAGGACCGAAACCUCUACAUACUGGUCUUGCUAUGUAUUUCAGCCUUGAACUAUGUAGGCUGCCCUUGAACCCAUUAUCCAUCAAGGCUGGCUUAUGGUGAUCCUUCUGCCUCAGCCUCCUGAGGGCUGGGCUUAAAGAGCCACUUGAUCAUGGACUGAAGCCUCUGAAACUGUGAACCAACAUGAAUCUCUCCUCCUUUAAGCUGUAUAUGUUGGGUAUUUUGUCGCAGCACAAUCCGAAAGUUGAUUAAUAUACUUACUAUGAGAACUUGGGUUUCUGUCCUGCUUUGGAGCCAGCUGACUUUGACCUAAAACCUCUACAAACUGUGAGCCAAAAUAAACCUUUCCUACUUUAAGUGGUGAACUUCACAUAUUGUAUCUCAAGGAGGAAAGUGACCAAGACAACCCCUGUUUUAGAGAUAAGGCUAGCUUGGGGUUUGUACCACUCAAGAAGCUACCCAAAGCAGACCAGCACUCAGAGUCAGGGAUGCCUCACUCUGACACCUGUUCCCUUUUCCCUGUACUGGAGGCCUCCUGUAGCUCAGUGAAGGGUUUCUGUAUUGAGUGGCCACUCACUUCACUGUGAAUCCCAAAGGUUGCAUCUCCAUUCAUCAGGAGCUGGAAGACCACACAUGCCUGACAUAAUAAAAAGGUACUGGAGAACAGGGCCUCUGAAUCAUCUUCGUGUCUCCAUAACAUAUUCAUUUACUGAAUGUCAAGUGCUAAAGGAAACAAGUUUAGGACAGCUCAGUGAACUCGCACAAGGUCACACAGCUAAAAAACAACCAGGAUUUUAAAUCCAGUCUCAUAGAGAACAUGUACCUCUUGAAUGCUGAUGAGGAAAAGCUUACACUUUUCCAGUUAACCACAUUACAUUUUGUCGUCUUCGUGCUUGAAGCUCUGCAGCUUUCCCUCCUGACCUUCCAUACCUCCCUGCUAGGGACCACUUCAUGUUAUCUCUAAUGUUACCUACUGUUCACAGUUAAAAGCAAAACAAAGUGAAAGCACACUGUCAGUAUAUGGGUUGUCCAUUUGCUGGAUGCAGAGGAGUUUCACUUCUUUAUCUCUCAAGAAACGAAGUUUCUGGAAGAGAGUUUACUUAAGUGUCUUUUUUUCCCAUCAGAGCAGAUGUUUGACCUGGCUGUUUCUGGUAACAAAUCAAACCCUAAACCAUCAUAACAAAGAGCUUUUGAAGAAAAUUGAGGUGAAACUCAAUUGGGGUCUAACUCAGUGGACAGUGUGUGCUUAUUAUAUGGGUAGCCGUGGAUUCAGUCACCAGCACAGGCACACCACACACACACACAUACACAUUUGAGAUGAGAGAUGUAAAGCAAGAGACACAAAAGCUAGAUGAGUCUGCCGAUAUUUUCUAGGCACAAUGUUAAUUUAUUGAAAUGGUCCUUAGCACAUCAAGUUGUUUAAUGUCACCCAAAUAGUAAUAAACUCAAUUUUAAAUUCAUGGCACUAAUUUCUGUUCUUUCACAGUUCAACAGUUAUAUAUAAAUGUUUGCAGUCAUUGCCCUUCUUUAAUUCUUCACUGAGUUUAUAUUUCAAAGUAAACAUCUCUUCUGUUGUCUGUAGGAAGUCAUAAAUUUACAACAAAAUAGUAAUUAAUUGAUAAUUUCUUGGUUGUUUCCUAGAAGUAGAUGGAUAGAAGUUAGCAGGGCAGAUCUUUACUAGCUGGGGCAGAAGGCAGGAGAAGGAAGGAGGAGUCUAGCUGUGACAUCAGUCCGGCAAAGACCUCAGCCACCCCUUUGGGGUUAUCUUUCAGGUGAUGGCCCCUCAGAGAUAUCAGAGUGGAGGCUAGAGAGACAGGCCUUUACACCGCCAUGGCUGACAUUGGCUGCUGGCAUUGGCUGCAGACUGAAAGGUCAGGUCAUCUCAGGAAAGGCAGUUUUCUCCAACCCCAGCCUAUCACUAGAGAUGGCUGACAAAACACACCUGGCAGUUGGGGCAAUAAGACCUUGUCCAAAGGGAGCACACAGUAUGGUAUGAAGUGUCCGUCACAGGAGCUACUUCAACGCAAUUUUCUUAGUUUCCAAAUUCCAAAAGAGCCAGAACACAGCAUCAUCCAAGUCACAGUACCUUUCAUGAUUCAAGUCAAGUCAGAAGUCAUUUCUCUAGCCCCUAUUUAGUUAUUCUGCAGCUGUGGCAAAAAUAUAUACAUAUGUGAUAGUUCAGAUAGUUAUUCUACUAAUUUCUCCUUGUUCAUUGAAAAGAAAGGUGUGUGCUAGUACUGUUCGGAAAAUUAAAUGCGUAUAUAUU